UGGUGGAGUGAUUUGUCUGGUUAAUUCCGUUAACGAACGAGACCUCGACCUGCUAAAUAGUUGGGCGAAUCCUCCGGGAUUCGUAUUCAUUUAACUUCUUAGAGGGACUAUCGGCGAUUUAGCCGAUGGAAGUUCGAGGCAAUAACA
rnacentral:rRNA from 1 species